AACGGCCAUACCAUGGUGAAUAUACCGGUUCUCGUUAGAUCACCGAAGUCAAGCAUCAUUGGGCGCGGUCAGUACUUGGGUGGGUGACCACCUGGGAACACCGCGUGCCGUU
rnacentral:rRNA from 1 species